UACAGAUCUUCGAUUUAUUGA
rnacentral:piRNA from 1 species